AGUUACCUAGAGCAUUAGCCAAUCAAAAGUGUUCUUGAGCCGAUAUUGUUAAACCGGAGACUCUUUGCAGACGCUGUUGUGCACGUCCGCUAGACGGAAAGCCUUAUGCGCCGCUGGAGUCACCACCUGGACCUUUGGGUUCAGGACUAUUUUGGUAGCGGUGCUCCGGGUAACUU
rnacentral:other from 1 species